UUCUUCACUCAGCACAGCCGAGGCAAGCCAAAAGAUUGGGAAUCUGUGCUCUAAGAGAAGAGACUUUGGGCUCUUUUCUUUAAAAGGGAGCUUGGUCAUCUUGAUUUGUCCGACUGAGGGAUUUGAAGACCACCUUAUGACUCGAUGGAACAGCCAAGACCACUCAGAUUCAGCGGAAGAUCAUCAGUCUUCCAAAACACUGCAAGAGUUGUGCAGUUUCACGUGUGGUCUGACCUGUACUUGUGGAGCUAAUGGGAACUCUGAUGUGUGCAUCUGGUUGAGAAUACUUUGCAGUACCACGCUGAGCACAACCAAACUGCAGAGCCUUCCAAAGAGGUUGGCUGGCCGGCUGAUCACUUUUGCUGUUGCAGUCAUCCUGGGAGCAAAACGUCCACGACAGAAGAUGGGCAGACAUUAAAAGAAGUUGGAAAGAGUCAGAAGUUAACAAAGGAGUGGAAGAUCAUGCAGCUGAAGUGGAAGGAUGUUCUAGAGAUACACUUUUGCUAGUUUCACAGUAUUUUGGAAACAUUAGAAGUUUAGGCUUUCAGUGGGCAUAUCUAAUCAUAAAGAAGAAAAUGAUACUAGUGGUAGCCUUUGUUAGGGUGUCCAUAACUCAGUACUUCCCCUAUUGUCACAGACUUCUAUGUUGGAUUCAUCCAUCCUUAGGUAAUUGUCUAAAACCGACACCAAGAGAUGCCCUCUCAAGUGACCUUUCACUGAUAAAAGCAGGAAACCUGGCUUAAAGCAGGGGCUUAAAAGUUAAAUGGCUACAUUUAAGGGAGAUUAAUUCUACUCCCAGCACUUAAUCUACAUUAAUCAUCAGGGCUCAGUAUCUCAUCUCCAGAAAGACACAUGGAGCAUGCAUCCCAUUCUUGGAUGGGACCUUAUGGGAGCUGGGAUAAACCAUCCUCCAAAGUGUCAGUUCUCUGCACUGCCUACAGAGAGGGAUGAGAGAGCUCUUCAGAAAGGUUCUGCAGAGAUUUUCUUAGAAAAUCAGGCAGGGUGAGUGCAGAUUUUGACCUUUUUGUGGCGGAGGGACAGAGAUUUUCAAGACCAAGUGCCCUUAGCACUGGAUUAAAUGCCUAAAACUAGGCAUUUAAACUAGUCAAAACUAGUCAACUAGGGAAGUACUUAUUUCUACUCAUGGUCUAUUUUGCUUGAAUUAAGGAUUCAAUUUAAGCAUCACCUGUAAAUGUGAAGUUUUUGCCUUCCAAGAUACAGAUGCGUAUAACAGAUAUCUGCCAGAUGGAGGUAGAGCUUCUAGUGGUGUUGCCAUAGGACUGAAGCACACAGUAGGAAGUUUAUUUCAGUUUCAAAAGUGAAGAUUAGUGCAACAGAGGCAAGAAUGAUCUGUCUCUAUUCUCUUUUCUCUCUUGAAUUGACGAACACUCACAAAUCAACUCUCUGAAAGAGUAGAUAACAGCAGGACGAGGGCAAAUGGUUUUAAGCUGAAGGAGGAAAGGUUUAGGUUGGAUGUCAGGGGGAAGUUCUUUACUGUGAGAGUGGUGAGGUGCUGGAACAGGAUGCCCAGAGAGAUUGUGGAUGCCCCAUCCCUGAAGGUGUUCAAGGCCAGGUAGGAUGGGGCCCUGGGCAGCCUGGUCUAGUAUUAAACUGGGAGGUUGGUGGCCCUGCCUGUGGCAGGGGGGUUGUAGAUUCAUGAUCCUUGAGGUCCCUUCCAACCUGGGCCAUUCUAUGAUUCUGUGAUUCUGUGAAAUCAGGAUGACAGUGGGGAAGAGCUGACCUUUUUAUUUACACUAAAUACAUUUAAAUGGUAUAGGGGGAUCAAGAGCAGCAUAUUACUCUGGCCAUGCUACAAAUUUUCUUGCACAAUUUCCUCAAAAGUUGAAUGAAUUUCAAGGCUAACCUGCAUACAUUUUUAAUUAAGAGAAAAGCAUUUAUCUUUUGGAUGGGUGAGAGCACUGAAUCUGACCAACACUCUUCAGAAGCUCCCAGCCCCCUGCUUUAUUCCGUGAACUUACACUCCCAGAAAUGUGGCACGGCUUUAUAUUUCACAGCAUCCAUAACGUGGAUUUAUCAAAGGUCACUAUGGCAACAUUCAGGCAGUCUGAGACAAAUACGAGUAUGAGCAUAGAAACAGGACAAAACAAACUGAAAUCGCCCCGUUCCCACCCUGCCUUGUACCCUGGCCCUCCAGCUCCAAAUUUAGACAACCACUGUUAUUAAUACUCCGGUCGAUAUUACCUCAGUGGAGGUUGAAAAGCAGAAGAGAGUUCACAGCGCUCACAGGGAGAGGAAUAUCACUGCGGUAUAGGCAUGCUACGUGCAUGGGAUCGCUGGGGCUAUGGGUAGCGCUGCAGAAUAAUUGUAUUGGCAUGUGUGAAUUCUGGGAAUCAGAACCUCCUCGUAUUUGUUUUGGCCGGGUUUCCAUGACAAUAAGUGCACUUGCUAUUAAUUCUCUAGUUUAUUACUUGUCUUUAUUCCUUGUAUUUGGGGGAGGGGAUUAUUCACAUCCGCGGUGGAAUUCCAGGCUUUAUGUAGUUAAACCUGAACUUUUUGAGAGUGUAUACAUAUACAUACAUAAAUAUAUAUGUGAGAAUACAAGGUACUCAAUCAAAAAUCUCUAUAUUGACAGUGAUACACGUUUUCAGAAUGGACUGAAAAAAUUUGAGGUAUAUUACUCUUCUUUUAUUAAUCAUAUCUUAAACUGUUCUUCUGGAUAUAUCUUAACCACAAUUAAAUUUAUAAGGUCUUCUUUUCCCUCUUAUUUUGUUCAUUUUGGUAAAUGAUACACUUUUAACAUUUUAUACCCCGUGAAGAAGGAAAAGUGUCCAAAAGAUGAAGGCGUUCAGAAUUGUUUUUCCUUUCUCUCUUCAUGUACUUAUUCAUACUUUGUUACAUAGGGUACGCGCAGACCAAUACACACACACAAAUCUAUAUGAAAGAGCAUCAAUGGAAGUACGGUUGCAAAGUGAACUUCUCAGUAAUUAAGAUAAGGCAAAAUAAAAGUUCCUUGUGAAACCUUACCUUUCUCCCUUUUACUACAUGUUAUCUUGCAACUUACUGAUCUGGUAGCCUUCCAUUUGUAAACGGGAACCUCCCAUGGUGAGAACCGUCCUCUGAUAGCAGGCAGUAAUUUGUUACAGAGUUAGCUUUACUGUGCGGUAGUUGCUUCCACA
ensembl:lncRNA